UAUUGGUCAAUGGCCGGAAGGCUGAACCAGCCAUGCCGCGUGAAGGUCAGUGCCAUAUGGGCGUUAAACUUCUUUUGUGCGGUAGCAAUAAGGUCCACGUGUGGGCCGACGAGAGUACCGUACGAAUAAGCAUCGGCUAACUCUGUGCCAGCAGCCGCGGUAAUACGGUGGAUCCGAGCGUUAUCCGGAUUUAUUGGGUUUAAAGGGAGCGUAGGUGGACAGUUAAGUCAGUUGUGAAAGUUUGCGGCUCAACCGUAAAAUUGCAGUUGAUACUGGCUGUCUUGAGUACAGUAGAGGUGGGCGGAAUUCGUGGUGUAGCGGUGAAAUGCUUAGAUAUCACGAAGAACUCCGAUUGCGAAGGCAGCUCACUGGACUGCAACUGACACUGAUGCUCGAAAGUGUGGGUAUCAAACA
rnacentral:rRNA from 1 species